UGUCAAUCGAGUAGCCUGCUGAAGUUCUAAAGUUUUCAUUCGCCCUUCGACGCCAAGUAGAGAGACUCAUAGAGAGAUUAUCGAACAGCGACGAUGGACAGGAAGACAUUGUUUUCUUUGUGGGCUCAACUGACCCCUGCUUCCAUCAUGAUGGAGGACAGGGAGUCAUACACCGAGGAGACCAGGCUCGUCCCCGCCCCCCCUACUGAGGCCAAGCCCCCGGGCCUUAACCCCCGCUACCCUCGUGGGGCUAGGCUGCCCUGGUUGGCUGCCCCAGCUGGUGGCAGCAACGAGAGGGUCGUCCUCCGCCCCCCUACUGAGGCCAAGCCCCCGGGCCUUAACCCCCGCUACCCUCGUGGGGCUAGGCUGCCCCGGUUGGCUGUGGCUGAGGAGGCUGACGACCAGGAAGCCUGGAUCCAGGCGGCCCACUCCGACACCGUGUCCCUCUGUGCACGGGCUCAGGGUGCCGCCUCGAGCCAGGAGACUUCCCCGGGCCGAACCCCCCCAGAAGUGGCUGACCCUGACCACCCUCGUGGGGCUAGGCUGCCCCGGUUGGCUGCCCCAGCCGCUGGCGCCAACGACAGGAUCGUCCUCCGCCCUACUGAGGCCAAGCCCCCCACAUAGACCCCCAG
ensembl:lncRNA